GGCAGGGUAGCUCAGUUGGUUAGAGCGAUGCAAUCAUAACGCAUAGGCCGCGGGUUCGAGUCCCGCCCCUGCUA
rnacentral:tRNA from 1 species